rnacentral:sRNA from 1 species
GAGACUGCCCUGGGGAAUGAAAUUGUUUGUUUACCCACAGAACACGUACAGCAUGGGCACCAGCAGUGUAGACUUUCCCAUGCUGUUGCAUUGCUGUUCUCCAGCCUUGCUCUCCAAUGCCUUUCUGUAGAGCAGUUCACACUCCAGGCCCUGCCCAAAUUCCAGGUGUU